UGCGACAUGGCGCAAUGGUAGCGCGGCGAGGUCAUGCCCCGCAGCUUCUGUGUUCAAUCCACAGUGCCGCAA
rnacentral:tRNA from 1 species